rnacentral:rRNA from 1 species
AGGACACUCUAUACGGAGUUACAAAGGACGACAUUAGACGAAUCAUCUGGAAAGAUGAAUCAAAGAAGGUAAUAAUCCUGUAGUCGAAAAUGUUGUCUCUCUUGAGUGGAUCCUGAGUACGACGGAGCACGUGAAAUUCCGUCGGAAUCUGGGAGGACCAUCUCCUAAGGCUAAAUACUCUCUAGUGACCGAUAGUGAACCAGUACCGUGAGGGAAAGGUGAAAAGCACCCCGGAAGGGGAGUGAAAUAGAACCUGAAACCGUGUGCUUACAAGUAGUCAGAGCCCGUUAAUGGGUGAUGGCGUGCCUUUUGUAGAAUGAACCGGCGAGUUACGAUUUGAUGCAAGGUUAAGCAGUAAAUGUGGAGCCGUAGCGAAAGCGAGUCUGAAUAGGGCGUUUAGUAUUUGGUCGUAGACCCGAAACCAGGUGAUCUACCCUUGGUCAGGUUGAAGUUCAGGUAACACUGAAUGGAGGACCGAACCGACUUACGUUGAAAAGUGAGCGGAUGAACUGAGGGUAGCGGAGAAAUUCCAAUCGAACCUGGAGAUAGCUGGUUCUCUCCGAAAUAGCUUUAGGGCUAGCCUCAAGUGAUGAUUAUUGGAGGUAGAGCACUGUUUGGACGAGGGGCCCCUCUCGGGUUACCGAAUUCAGACAAACUCCGAAUGCCAAUUAAUUUAACUUGGGAGUCAGAACAUGGGUGAUAAGGUCCGUGUUCGAAAGGGAAACAGCCCAGACCACCAGCUAAGGUCCCAAAAUAUAUGUUAAGUGGAAAAGGAUGUGGCGUUGCCCAGACAACUAGGAUGUUGGCUUAGAAGCAGCCAUCAUUUAAAGAGUGCGUAAUAGCUCACUAGUCGAGUGACACUGCGCCGAAAAUGUACCGGGGCUAAACAUAUUACCGAAGCUGUGGAUUGUCCUUUGGACAAUGGUAGGAGAGCGUUCUAAGGGCGUUGAAGCAUGAUCGUAAGGACAUGUGGAGCGCUUAGAAGUGAGAAUGCCGGUGUGAGUAGCGAAAGACGGGUGAGAAUCCCGUCCACCGAUUGACUAAGGUUUCCAGAGGAAGGCUCGUCCGCUCUGGGUUAGUCGGGUCCUAAGCUGAGGCCGACAGGCGUAGGCGAUGGAUAACAGGUUGAUAUUCCUGUACCACCUAUAAUCGUUUUAAUCGAUGGGGGGACGCAGUAGGAUAGGCGAAGCGUGCGAUUGGAUUGCACGUCUAAGCAGUAAGGCUGAGUAUUAGGCAAAUCCGGUAC